rnacentral:rRNA from 1 species
UUGGACCUGAUAUCAGACAAA